AUGAAUCCAAGCAACAUCAAUCACCAACAACACCCGAUCUCGAUCUAUCUGAAGAACAGUGCUUCAAAUUUGAUGCGUAAAGUAAUAUCACUGCUCAAGCUAGAGAAAGAUGUUUGGAAUCUUGUACUACUUCUGCAUUUGAUGUCAGAAUUGAUCCUGAACUGUAAUAUACCGAUGAUGAUAAGGAAAAAAAGAGUUUUAAUUUAUGCCCAAAAUGGUCUGUCUAUGUUUCUAGGUUACUAG